rnacentral:other from 1 species
UUCCCCUGCCUGGAUUGCGUGAUGGGUGGCUGACCUCGUGCCCGAUAGCUGUACCCAGGGGUCCCGAUGUUCCUGUGGUGUGCAAGCCCCCGCCCCGCUCUGCGGGGCUCCGGGGAAGCCUGAAGCAGGACAAAAGGGUCCCCACCUGCCAUAGCGCAGGGCACCACCGAAGCUGCCCACACGGCCGAGGCGGGGGUUUU